CCUACGGGUGGCAGCAGUGGGGAAUAUUGCACAAUGGGCGAAAGCCUGAUGCAGCAACGCCGCGUGAGUGAUGAAGGCCUUCGGGUCGUAAAACUCUGUCCUCAAGGAAGAUAAUGACGGUACUUGAGGAGGAAGCACCGGCUAACUACGUGCCAGCAGCCGCGGUAAUACGUAGGGGGCUAGCGUUAUCCGGAUUUACUGGGCGUAAAGGGUGCGAAGGCGGGCUUUCAAGUCAGGAGUGAAAGGCUACGGCUCAGCCGUAGUAAGGUCUUGAAACUGGGAGACUUGCGUGUUGGAGAAGAGAGUGGAAUUCUUGGUGUAGGGGUGAAAUGCGUAGAGAUCAGGAGGAACACGCAUUGCGAAGGCG
rnacentral:rRNA from 1 species